UACGUAGGGUGCGAGCGUUGUCCGGAAUUAUUGGGCGUAAAGAGCUCGUAGGCGGUCUGUCGCGUCGGUCGUGAAAACUUGGGGCUUAACCCUGAGCUUGCGGUCGAUACGGGCAUGACUGGAGUUCGGCAGGGGAGACUGGAAUUCCUGGUGUAGCGGUGAAAUGCGCAGAUAUCAGGAGGAACACCGAUGGCGAAGGCGGGUCUCUGGGCCGAUACUGACGCUGAGGAGCGAAAGCGUGGGGAGCGAACAGG
rnacentral:rRNA from 1 species